rnacentral:lncRNA from 1 species
AAAACUAGAGGCUCUUAAGAGCCUGUGUCGCUCACCUUGGUCUAUGUGCAUAUUAAACAAAGAACACAGAUGGAUUCAUGACAAAAUUGUGUUUUGGUGAUGGUGAUGUGUUUGUAGAUCUUACUUUACUAAACAUUCUUGCUUCUUACAAUUAUCUCAAUUUAUAAUGAACUUGGCCCAUUAGUUACAAAGGAAAAUAUUUUGUUAAAAUUUACAAAAAUUUACAAAAUUUACAAAAUUAUCAAAAAUGGACUAUAAAGGGCAAUAACUCCUUAAGGGGUCAACUGACCUUUUAGGUCAUGUUGACUUAUUUGUGGAUCUUACUUUGCUGAACAUUAUUGCUGUUAAAUUACAGUUUAUCUCUAUCUAUAAUAAUAUUCAAGAUAAUAACCAAAAACAGCAAAAUUUCCUUAAAAUUACCAAUUCAGGAGCAGCAAUCCAACAACAGGUUGUCAGAUUCAUCUGAAAAUUUCCAAUUCAGGGGCAGCAACCCAUCAACCAGUUGUCGGAUUCAUCUGAAAAUUUCAGGGCAGAUAGAUCUUGACUUGCAAAACAAUUUAACCCCUGUCUGAAUUGCUCUUAAUGCUUUAGUUUCA